AUGGUCAUGAUCAAUACUAGUUGUUCUCUAAUAAUUAUCCGUACUUGUCACUCAGUGUCUCUAUACUAUAGACUAAAGACUCAUCUAUUCUGAAGAAAGUGAUCUAUGUACCAAUCUAUCUGGAUCGAUCACCAUCCUCAAGAUGAUAUUAUGACUGGAGCAACUUAGAAAUUAAUUAUAUAUGCCUCUAAUUUUCAACACUUUAAGAAUAUAUAUCGUAAGUAUUAAUUUCAUAGAUG
rnacentral:lncRNA from 1 species